rnacentral:rRNA from 1 species
GUCUUUUUGAAUGGUAGAAAGAGUCCAGCCUGCCCGCUGAUAAGUUUAAGGGCCGCGGUAUUUUGACCGUGCGAAGGUAGCGUAGUCAUUAGGUUUUUAAUUGGAAUCUUGUAUGAAUGGCUAGACAAGAGAAAAUCUGUCUCUUCAUUAAAUAUUGAACUUAACUUUUGGGUGAAAAGGCUUAAAUAAAUUUAAGGGACGAUAAGACCCUAUAAAGCUUAAUAUAAAGUGUUAUUUAAUUGAAUUUAAAUAUAAAAAUUUUAUAAUGCAAUUUAUUUUAUUGGGGCGAUAAAGGUAAAAUUGUUGUUAACUGCUUUUGGCUCAGACACAUUUAUAGUUGAAAUAAAUUUAUAAAAGAUCCUAAGUAAAGAUUAAAAGUUUAAGUUACUUUAGGGAUAACAGCGUUAUUUUUUUUGAGAGUACAUAUCGAAAAAAGAGUUUGCGACCUCGAUGUUGAAUUAAAAUUUCUUUAUAGAAGCAGAAACUAUAAGAGUUGGUCUGUUCGACCUUUAAAAUUUUACGUGAUUUGAGUUCAAACCGGCGUGAG